UAUAUAGCUAUGAUUGAUUGGAGUAGUGAUAAGAUUCCCUUUUUAAAGAGAGCUAGCGGUUGGUGUAAGCUGGCAAAAAGUCUUAUGACGAAUUACGGUCAGGAGCUUCUUCAUGAAUAAUGAAGACGGUGUGGUUACAUCGUUAUUUCCUUAAGUGGCAAUUUUUCUUAUUGCAACAAGGGUGGUACCGCGAUUAUCUCGUCCCUUUU
rnacentral:ncRNA from 1 species